GAGGGGUUAAGGCUCCCAGUAGACGACUGGGUUGAUAGGCCAGAUCUGGAAGCCCGGUAACGGGUGGAGGUGACUGGUACUAAUAGGCCGAGGGCUUGUCCUCAGUUG
rnacentral:rRNA from 1 species